GUUAGCCAUUGCCGUUCUCACUCUCACUGCUCGCGUUUCUUCUUCUUCGUCACCUUAUUAUUAUUCCAACUUUUUCUUCACUCGCUCCUUCAACAUUUUCACCACAAAGUUCGUCCCUUUCGAAAAACCUCACCAACGACGUCGUUUCUUCUGCAAAAGGGCAAUGGCUUCUUCAGCAGCUGCUAUCCCUUCUCUUUCUUAGAGAAUCACCGCACCCUAUGGCUCCUGGAAGUCCCCCAUCACCGCCGGCGUCGUCUCCGGCGCCUCCAAGAGACUUGGCGGCACCGCCUUCGACGGAUGCGGUCGCCUCAUUUGGCUGGAAUCACGUCCAGCAGAAUCGGGAGAAGGAAAGGAACACUGAGCUCACAGCUUUAGCCAUGAAGUUCAAACGAAUGGAGGCAAACAAACUGGUAAGAUACAUACCUGCGGCGGGGUCGAGUGGAGAAACCGGAGAAGAAAAGAGGGGAAGUUGAGGAAGAGAAAGAGGCAGUAGAUGGAGACGCAAAAGAAAUGCUAACGGCGGUGCUGAGGCGGAUGGCGCUUUGCCCAUGCAAGACCCUUCUUUGUUUGAUUUUUUCCCGCUUUGGUUUUUAUAUUGCUUUGGACGGAAAAAAGGUGUCACCUUUGUCUGAUUCCGAUGUUGUGGACUUUUGUUGUUGUGCUACGUACAAAUGUAGUUAUGUUUGAUUUUGAAGCUGUGACCUUUAUGUUUGUGACGAUCACACAGCCUGUUUGUCUUGCCUUCUCUGUGGGUUUGACCUUUGUGUUUGUUUUUAUGGCUAAAGCUUUCAACUUUGUGUUUCGCUGGGUCCCAAAAACUGUGAGCCUUCCAUUCUUUGCUCAAUUUAUUUUUUACUUAGUUUUUUUUGCUUUUGACGGAAAAAAGGUGUGACCUUUGUCUGUUUCCGAUGUUGUGGACUUCUGUUGUUGUGUUGGAUACUAAAGAUGUCGACUUUCUGUUAUCCUGGAUUAGAAAAUAAUGUGUUGUUGUUUGUGUAUUUUUUAUCUUCUACAGUUUAUUUUGGGUCGUUUUCACUUUGUUAGGUUCAUUGAGGGUAUGGGUUUGAUGCCUGAUCUAUAUGUUUAUGUAUUUUAAUUUUUGUUUUUUUUUUGUUCGAGCUAAUGUUUAUUUGUUUGCCUGAUUCUUGGAUCGAUGGUUACUAUUAUUUCUUGAUUUUGGGAUCGAUGUUUGCUAUUAUUUCCUUUGCAAGUCCAUGUUCUGAUGUUUGCUCUUCAAUAUCAUGGACCUAGAGGUGUUUGAAGGCACGGGGUAGUGUACAUUUCUUUGGCUUUCCUAUUUUUAGCUUUUUACCUGGAAAAACAUUUGGUUGUGUUUCAAGGCACAUGAUGAUACACAUUUGUAUCAGAUACAUCAUUUGUUUUUUUCCUGUGUUUCUUUUGGGUUACAAUUUCCCAGGUUUGGUUUGGACAGGGUGGAUGUCCAUGACUUUAAACUCAUAGAACUAAGUUGCCUUUCACACACUAUAAGGUACUUACUGGAGUCAGCCUGAUUCAUCUGGGCAUCUCUAAGUGAAUGAGGUUAUGACAAGUUGCCAUCAGUAUGUGUUUUUGCAUCUUUAUUGCUGUCGAUGACAUACUUAUUUGACUCAGUAUUGACCAUUAUAUAUUUCCUUUGUUCUCUUUAGAUACUGUGAGCAAUUUGCAGAACUUUCGGUAUGGGGUAAGGAUGUGUGGUUCUUGGAGUCAUUUUUAUUGUACCCAUUUCAUGAAAGCCUGCAGCUAAUUCUAUGUUUUAACACUUUAAUAUUUAUUCAAAUUCAAUUGGGUUUAAGAUCACACUAAAACUUAUCAAUAUUGCUUUUCUAUGUAGCCAUUACUGUUUGUUAUCUACUGAGCACAUCCACUCCUAAAAAAACAUUUGGUUGUGUUUCAAGACAUAGCCAGAUACACAUUUGUAACAGAUACAUCAUUUGGUUUUUUUCUUGGUUUCUUUUGGGUUACAGCCUCCCAGCUUUGGUUUCGACAUGGUGGAUGUCCAUGUAUUUAAACUCACACAACUAGCACUAUGAGGUACUUACUAGAGCCAGCAGGAUUCAUUUGGGUAUCUCUAAGUGAAUGGGGUAAUGACAAGUUGCAAUUAGUAUGCGUUUUUAUAUGUGAGCCUGCAUCUUUAUUGGUGUCAAUGACAUAUUUAUUUGACUUAGUAUUGUCCAUUAUAUAUUUCCUUUCUUCUGUUUGAAAAUUGUGAGUAAUUUGCAGAAUUGCAGGUAUGGGGUAAGGAUGUAUAGGUGACACUAAAAGCCUUUGAAUUUUGUAAAUUAAAUAUAUAGCCCUGAAAGUAGAUACCAUCAAAAUGUCUUCUUGGAGUCAUUUUUAUUGUACCGAUGGGAUCAAAACCUGCAACUAAUCCUAUGUUUAAACACUAUAAUAUUUAUUGAAAUCCAAUUAGAUUUUAGUAUUCACUAAAACUGAUAAAUAUUGAUUUUCUAUGUGGCCGGAACUGUUUGUUAUCUACUGAGCACAUUCACUGGCUUUAGUUGUGCAGACAAAAAAACUAUCGCGAUGGUUUUGUCACCGUUGCAUGAACACUCACAUUGACUUAAUCACAUUUUUGUUUGGCUUAAUGGCUAACCGCUGUGUUCGUGGCUUUUCUUAUGCCUUAGGAUUCUAAUGGGGCAAUAGAUCAAGAAGACCACCUGUGAUACUGUGUGAUCCAUCUUUUUGUCCUUUGGGUUUGCCUUUUGACGUUCCAUUUUCUCUCCAAAACAACUCCCAAACUACCAUUUUUCACUACUUACUGAUGGUUGGAUUACGCUGUUGUCAAUAUUUUAGCCGGCCAUAAUUUUAGACGUGGCUCACUUUUGCAACUAACCAAUCAUGAGGUGGCUCACUUCAUAGAUAAACAUAUAACAUGUUUUUUAGACGCGCAUAAUCCUCUAUGAAUAUUUUUCCUACUUGGCUCUGGGGUAACUUAUUGUAAUUAUAUUUUUUAGGGUUAUUUGAAUAAGCUUUUGAGGCUUACCUGACCUCUUUGUCCUUACAACGAAUCCAACAUUUCUCCUUUUUGAAAAUUUGAUUUUCCUUUAUUUGGCAACAUUCAGUUUAAGUUUUUUUGUUCUUCUGAUUAAACUUUCAAUAUGUUAUAUACAACUGAUUAUUUGUAUAUAUGUGUUGUAUACAUUCGUUAUUCAGCCACAUUUAUGAAUGACAGGCCUAUAUACUGAAGAGUAUUUUGUUUAUCACAUUGUGUUUUUUCCCUGUUUUGAUCUAUCUGCUAUAUACAGACAAGGCCCCUGCCAAUGCGGGAAAUACCAAAGUGUCCCUGAGUUUUUUUUCCUUUCUUAUAGCACUUACGGGAUUUUGGAAGCGAAACGAUCUUGCAAGUUGAUGGUCUGGGUGCUGUUCAGCCCAUUUAUUUUGUUGCAGGUCUUACUAAUUUGACUACCUAUCAGGGAUAUUCCAGGGAUAUAGGUUUUCACAAUUUUCCUUCUUUUGUUGUUAUGUUGCUCUCAAAACUACAAUGUGGAACAUUUGUGUUCCCACUACAAGGUACUUGCUUUCUACCUCCUUAUUGUUUCUUUGUCCUGUGAACCUCCCAUAUAUUAUACUUAAAACAGAAAUUUUGUAACAUGUGUCUAUUCUGUGAAUAUGGUCAUUAUUUGAAUUCACAGGAAAACAGGUGUUCCAUGCAUCAUAUGUUUGAAACAGGGGAACUGCAUAUCAUCUAUCACAGACAACACAAUUCUCACAUUUGAGGGUGGAUUGCAGAAACAAUUGAUUUCGGCUUUCACAAUAGAUUCGUGUUACUUUAAAAGGAGAACCUUAGCCAAACACUCAUGGAGAAAAGUGCUUGAAAAAUAAAUCAACUUUAUUUUUUGACAACAAAAGGAGGAAACAACUUUUAUUUAAAGGGAUGGAAUGAGAUAUAAGUCUAUGGAAUUGUCUAGAUAUAUGUGAUGUGAGUGCUCAAUGUAUCUGUCAUUUGUUUCCCUGUCAUGGAACCAUGCUAUUCUUUUGGUUCAUUGUUUUCCUGAUUAUUAGUUGCAGGUCAAAUGUUAUACAGAAACUAAUUUAUUAUUUUUGGUUUUCCUAUUUUUCACGCUUGCAGGGUUUCGACUAGACAUUUCCUAUACGGGUAAUUGAUGAAUCCACCAGCUUAUUAAAAAUAUAUAUUAUAUAUACAUUCUUGAUUUUUAUGUGUCAUUUCUUUAUUUUGGAUUGGAUUCUAGGGAGCUUUUCUUUAGGAGAUUUGCUGUACAUUGACAUUCAUUUAAAGACCACACAUCCUAUUCCUGACUACAUUUACAGUUUAGUCCAGCCGUCAUAGUUUAUGGUUAUCAUUAUUUUAGAUAUGAGAAUCUGCUUAAUAAAUGUACUGCAUAAUUGCUGGCGUUAUAUUUCCCUGUGGUGCCAUACAACCUGUCUAAUCAUGGUGGAUGGCCUACUAACUGUGAUGAUUAUUAUGCAUUCAUAUUCACUAAUUUACGUAAUUGAUGUAAACAAUAUGAGGGAGCGUAAAAAAAAUCAUUAAAAGCACUAUUAAUAUCUAUUGGUUGUGAGUGUUCGGAACUGAGGUCUGCAGCAACCUUUGAGGAGUCUCGAAUUAAUUUGCGGUUUUAAAGAAGUAACUGCUCCACCAGUUACAAACGCAAAACAUACAUCCAUUUAUU